rnacentral:rRNA from 1 species
GACGAACGCUGGCGGCGUGCUUAACACAUGCAAGUCGAACGGUGAAGCGAGUGAUUGCACUCGUGGAUCAGUGGCGAACGGGUGAGUAACACGUGAGUAACCUGCCCAUCACUCUGGGAUACGCACUGGAAACGGUGUCUAAUACUGGAUACGACCAACCCUUGCAUGGGGUGUUGGUGGAAAGAUUUAUCGGUGAUGGAUGGACUCGCGGCCAAUCAGCUUGUUGGCGGGGUAAUGGCCCACCAAGGCGACGACGGGUAGCCGGCCUGCGAGGGUGACCGGCCCCACUGGGACUGGGGCACGGCCCAGACGCCUACGGGAGCCAGGGGUGGAGAAUAGUCCGCGAUGGGCGAAGGCCGGAUACAGCGACGCCGCGUGGGGGAUCACGGCCUGCGGGUUGUAAACCUCUUUCAACAGGGAAGAAGCGAAAGUGACGGUACCUGCAGAAGAAGCGCCGGCUAACUACGUG